CCUACGGGGGGCUGCAGUGGGGAAUAUUGGACAAUGGGGGGAACCCUGAUCCAGCCAUGCCGCGUGUGUGAAGAAGGCCCUCGGGUUGUAAAGCACUUUCAGUGAGGAAGAACGCCUGGUGGUUAAUACCCAUCAGGAAAGACAUCACUCACAGAAGAAGCACCGGCUAACUCCGUGCCAGCAGCCGCGGUAAUACGGAGGGUGUGAGCGUUAAUCGGAAUUACUGGGCGUAAAGCGCGCGUAGGUGGCUUGAUAAGCCGGUUGUGAAAGCCCCGGGCUCAACCUGGGAACGGCAUCCGGAACUGUCAAGCUAGAGUGCAGGAGAGGAAGGUAGAAUUCCCGGUGUAGCGGUGAAAUGCGUAGAGAUCGGGAGGAAUACCAGUGGCGAAGGCGGCCUUCUGGACUGACACUGACACUGAGGUGCGAAAGCGUGGGUAGCAAACAGGAUUAGAUACCCUUGUAGUC
rnacentral:rRNA from 1 species